UGCUGGGAGAAAUUGUUGCUGGGUUACAGGGUUAAAUAGUCUUUCAAGACUGAAGUCAGCAGGACUGUGAGUUAGUAUCAGCCAGACGUGUUGCUGGGUUACAGGGUUAAAUAGUCUUUCAAGACUGAAGUCAGCAGGACUGUGAGUUAGUAUCAGCCAGACGUGUUGCUGGGUUACAGGGUUAAAUAGUCUUUCAAGACUGAAGUCAGCAGGACUGUGAGUUAGUAUCAGCCAGACGUGUUGCUGGGUUACAGGGUUAAAUAGUCUUUCAACCAGUUUGGAAAAGAGAAAACAGAACGUUCUGCUCCAUUGUUACACUCCCAUUGUGAAGUAGAAGGGUUCCAUUAUACUGUAUUAGAACACAACUGUACUUUAGAACCAGAAGAGACUCCACUAUCAACAUGAGAAAUGAUGGUCAACUGUAUAGACACACAUAGGUUGGGAUUCAAUCCAAUACUGUAUAGACACAUAGGCUGGGAUUCAAUCCAAUACUGUACAGACACAUAGGCUGGGAUUCAAUCCAAUACUGUAUAGACACAUAGGUUGGGAUACAAUCCAAUACUGUAUAGACAGACAGACAGGCUGGGAUUCAAUCCAAUACUGUAUAGACAGACACACAGACUGGGAUUCAAUCCAAUACUGUACAGACAGACACAUAGGCUGGGAUUCAAUCCAAUACUGUAUAGACACACACAGGCUGGGAUUCAAACCAAUACUGUACAGACAGACACAUAGGCUGGGAUUCAAUCCAAUACUGUACAGACAGACACAUAGGCUGGGAUUCAAUCCAAUACUGUAUACACACACACAGGCUGGGAUUCAAUCCAAUACUGUAUAGACAGACACACAGACUGGGAUUCAAUCCAAUACUGUACAGACAGACACAUAGGCUGGGAUUCAAUCCAAUACUGUAUAGACACACACAGGCUGGGAUUCAAACCAAUACUGUAUAGACAGACACACAGGCUGGGAUUCAAUCCAAUACUGUACAGACAGACACAUAGGCUGGGAUUCAAUCCAAUACUGUAUAGACACACACAGGCUGGGAUUUAAUCCAAUACUGUAUCGACACACAGACUGGGAUUCAAUCCAACACUGUACAGACACACACAGGCUGAGAUUCAAUCCAAUACUGUAUACACACACACAGGCUGGGAUUCAAUCCAAUACUGUAUACACACACACAGGCUGAUUUUCAAUCCAAUACUGUAUACACAGUAUAUACAGCAAGGCACUCAACCUCAAUUGCUCCAGGGAUGUCAUUGAUCAUGUCUGACCCUGUCUAAAGACCCCAGCUCUCUGUGGGUGUUGAUAAUGUCUGACCCUGUCUAAAGACCCCAGCUCUCUGUGGGUGUUGAUAAUGUCUGACCCUGUCUAAAGACCCCAGCUCUCUGUGGGUGUUGAUAAUGUCUGACCCUGUCUAAAGACGCCAGCUCUCUGUGGGUGUUGAUAAUGUCUGACCCUGUCUAAAGACCCCAGCUCUCUGUGGGUGUUGAUAAUGUCUGACCCUGUCUAAAGACCCCAGCUCUCUGUGGGUGUUGAUAAUGUCUGACCCUGUCUAAAGACCCCAGCUCUCUGUGGGUGUUGAUAAUGUCUGACCCUGUCUAAAGACCCCAGCUCUCUGUGGGUGUUGAUAAUGUCUGACCCUGUCUAAAGACCCCAGCUCUCUGCGGGUGUUGAUAAUGUCUGACCCUGUCUAAAGACCCCAGCUCUCUGUGGGUGUUGAUAAUGUCUGACCCUGUCUAAAGACUCCAGCUCUCUGUGGGUGUUGAUAAUGUCUGACCCUGUCUAAAGACCCCAGCUCUCUGUGGGUGUUGGUAAUGUCUGACCCUGUCUAAAGACUCCAGCUCUCUGUGGGUGUUGAUAAUGUCUGACCCUGUCUAAAGACUCCAGCUCUCUGCGGGUGUUGAUAAUGUCUGACCCUGUCUAAAGACUCCAGCUCUCUGUGGGUGUUGAUAAUGUCUGACCCUCUCUAAAGACUCCAGCUCUCUGUGGGUGUUGAUAAUGUCUGACCCUGUCUAAAGACCCCAGCUUUCUGUGGGUGUUGAUAAUGUCUGACCCUGUCUAAAGACCCCAGCUCUCUGUGGGUGUUGAUAAUGUCUGACCCUGUCUAAAGACCCCAGCUCUCUGUGGGUGUUGAUAAUGUCUGACCCUGUCUAAAGACCCCAGCUCUCUGUGGGUGUUGAUAAUGUCUGACCCUGUCUAAAGACCCCAGCUCUCUGUGGG
ensembl:lncRNA